CAGUGUGAUCAUAAUAACACUAAUGCACCAUAUCCCAUCACAACUCCGCAGAUAAUCUUGCUUGGGAGAGAGUAGUACUAGGAUGGGUGACCUCCUAGGAAGUCCUCGUGUUGCACCUC
rnacentral:rRNA from 2 species